AAGCGUUAUUCGGAUUCACUGGGCUUAAAGGGUGCGCAGGCGGCCAGGUGUGUUAGGCGUGAAAGCCCGGGGCUUAACCCCGGAAUUGCACCUAAAACUACUUGGCUAGAGCAUUGGAGAGGGUAGCGGAAUUCACGGUGUAGCAGUGAAAUGCGUAGAUAUCGUGAGGAACACCAGAGGCGAAGGCGGCUACCUGGACAAUUGCUGACGCUCAGGCACGAAAGCGUGGGGAGCAAAAGGG
rnacentral:rRNA from 1 species